rnacentral:rRNA from 1 species
UACGUAGCAGCGAGCGUUGUUCGGAGUUACUGGGCGUAAAGGGUGCGUAGGCGGCGCGGUAAGUCGGGUGUGAAAUCUUGGGAGCUUAACUCCGAAACUGCAUUCGAUACUGCCGUGCUUGAGGACUGGAGAGGAGACUGGAAUUUACGGUGUAGCGGUGAAAUGCGCAGAUAUCAGGAGGAACACCAAUGGCGAAGGCAGCACUCUGGGACGUGACUGACGCUGAGACGCGAAAGCGUGGGGAGCAAACAGG